rnacentral:rRNA from 1 species
AUUGAACGCUGGCGGAAUGCCUAACACAUGCAAGUCGAGCGGAGUAGCAAUACUCAGCGGCGGACGGGUGAGGAAUACAUAGGAACUUGCCUUUAGGUGGGGGAUAGCUUGGGGGAAACUCAAGGUAAUACCGCAUGAUCUCGCAAGAGCAAAGGGGCGCAAGUCUCGCCUUUAGAGAGGCCUGUGUCUGAUUAGCUAGUUGGCGGUGUAAUAGACCACCAAGGCGACGAUCAGUAACUGGUCUGAGAGGACGAUCAGUCACACCGGAACUGAGACACGGUCCGGACUCCUACGGGAGGCAGCAGUGGGGAAUAUUGGACAAUGGGCGAAAGCCUGAUCCAGCAAUUCCGCGUGUGUGAAGAAGGCCUUCGGGUUGUAAAGCACUUUAGUGAGGGAAGAAACAGCUUGGCCACACCAAGCCUUGACGGUACCUCAAGAAUAAGCACCGGCUAACUCUGUGCCAGCCGCCGCCGUAA